GAUGAAGAACGUAGCGAAAUGCGAUAAGUAAUGUGAAUUGCAGAAUUCAGUGAAUCAUCGAAUCUUUGAACGCACCUUGCGCCCGCCAGUAUUCUGGCGGGCAUGCCUGUUCGAGCGUCAUUUCAACCAUCAAGCCCCGGGCUUGUGUUGGGGAUCUGCGGCUGCCCGCAGGCCCUGAAAACCAGUGGCGGGCUCGCUGUCACUCCGAGCGUAGUAGCACUCGUAUCUCGCUCAGGGCGUGCCGCGGGCUCCGGCCGUUAAACCGCCUCUUUAGCACCCAAAGGUUGACCUCGGAUCAGGUAGGAGGUCCCGCUGAACUUAAGCAUAUCAAUAAGCGGAGGA
rnacentral:misc_RNA from 1 species